UGAGAGUUUGAUCCUGGCUCAGAUUGAACGCUGGCGGCAGGCUUAACACAUGCAAGUCGAGCGGAGGUGAGGUGCUUGCACCUUAUCUUAGCGGCGGACGGGUGAGUAAUGCUUAGGAAUCUGCCAUUUAGUGGGGGACAACAUUCCGAAAGGAAUGCUAAUACCGCAUACGUCCUACGGGAGAAAGCAGGGGAUCUUCGGACCUUGCGCUAAAUGAUGAGCCUAAGUCGGAUUAGCUAGUUGGUGGGGUAAAGGCCUACCAAGGCCACGAUCAGUAGCCGGCCUGAGAGGGUGGACGGCCACACUGGGACUGAGACACGGCCCAGACUCCUACGGGAGGCAGCAGUGGGGAAUAUUGGACAAUGGGGGGAACCCUGAUCCAGCCAUGCCGCGUGUGUGAAGAAGGCCUUAUGGUUGUAAAGCACUUUAAGCGAGGAGGAGGCUACUGAGACUAAUACUCUUGGAUAGUGGACGUU
rnacentral:rRNA from 1 species